ACCCAUUUUCUCCUAGCGUUGCCAUAUGGCAACACUAUAGCUGAAAUACUUUAAUGGUCCUGACAUCUGACCUAAGUGUUGCCACCAACCUUUAUGCAGUAAGAUAUGUUUUCCUCUACGCUGCCGACAUGCUGAGCCGUAUAAUGACUCACUAGAUUCGCGCCGUACGCCGCCUAGGCACCACGUGUGUUUUCUUCUUCUCCAAAAUGACAAGCAGGAAAAGGCCUCUUACAGUGAACGAAGCUUUGGACAUUUUAGAGGAUGAAGAUGAGUUCUUUGAUGUAUAUAUGGAACCCCCUGAUGUUCGUGAGCUUACUGAUGAAGAUUCUGCAAGUGAAGAGGAUGAACAACCAGAAAGACUUUGUGGGAACCAACUUUUGGCUGGAGCAGAAAUUCGCCGUCGUGGUGUAGCAGAUGUCGGCAAAUCUGACGAUGAUGAACCUCACACGGAAACCGCCAGACCCCCCAGUAAGAAGGCAAAACAAAUCCGUCAAGAACCUCUAAAAUGGAUAAUAGGAGAGAAAAUAAUGGAUGGAUUGGGAGGGACUGAUAGAAUGGAUCAAAACAUAAAUAAAUAUAGAAUUUCAAUAAAAAGCAAGAAAUGGUGGUGGUCUUUGUUCACAUGGAUGUUGGACAUGGCAGUCCAUAAUGCAUGGCAACUAUCGAAAGGACAAGGCAGUGCACUAACACAACUGCAGUUUCGUCGAGAAAUUGCUGCUUGCUACCUAAAUCAGUUUGGAAUUUUACCCAAAGGUAAAGGAAGAAAAUCGACUACUCUUCCAGCACAACAUUUUGUAAGAUAUGACAACUUAGGACAUCUUGUUGAACCUGUCCAGGAUAACAAAAAAAGAAGGUGUGCAAAUACUGGUUGUACUUCAAUUGGCCGAACUCAGUGUUCAAGAUGUAAUGUGGGAUUGUGUGUGAAGUGUUUCAGAGAUUACCACACUAAGUAAGGAAAUAGACUUAUUUUACAAUUAUAGUGUGCAAUGGCAAACUUGGCACAAUGAAUAUAUUUUCAUGCAAUUCUUAGCUAUUUCUACUUAUUUUUUAUUUGCAGAAAUCACGGUUAAAAUAUUUUGUAAACAUGAAAAUGAAUAAAACGUUGGUUUUGUAUA